rnacentral:lncRNA from 1 species
CGGCGGCGGCUGCUGCGGGGGCUGCUGCUGCUGUUGCUGCACCGGGCGCGGCCGCGACACUCGCCUGGGUCUCCGGUUGGCGGCUCGGACGGAGUUCAUUUGCCGGGCUGAGGUGGCGGCGUUGGCGGAGGGACACACACACGCACACGCACAGCGAGCUUCGGGGCAGGAGAAAGGGGUGGGGAGAGUGGGAGAGGGGAGAGGAAGGAGAGGGGGCGAGGGGAAGGGGAGACGCUGAGGGCGGAGGGGGCGAGCGGGACCCCGAGUCCGGAGAAAGGCCCGGGUAGACAGACGGAGACCGAGCGAGGCCGGCCGGGCGGGCCUGACGCACGGGGAAGGCCGAGGCCGCCGGGCGGGGCGGCCGCGAGGGACGAAGGCAGAAAGACGGGCAGAGCGAGAGAAAGAAAGAAAGGGCGUCCGCCGCUUGGGGAUCCCGAGGCGAAGCGCGGCGGCGGCGGCGGCGGUGGCUGAAGAGACAGAUCCCGGUCCCGCCGACUCGCGAGCGGCGUCUCCGGCAGCGCGGGGAGUGGGCGGGCGGGUCCCACAAACUGCAAGGAAAAGAAAAACCCUCAA